AAACACACGUACUUAAAAAUAGUGCAGCUCCCAGAGAUAGAAGUCUGUCGAUGUGAAAUUCUCUUAAACUUUAGUAAAUUACAUUCUCAGGCUUAACAAAUGGGCAAAGGCGGUGAUGCUACGUGCCUUAUAUUUGGAAUAAUCUGGUUUCUAAUAUUGAUCUUUCUUGCAUGGCCAGUUUCUUGCUUUAUCGCUGGACUGUAUAUUCUUCUGCAACCCUUUGCUGUCUGCAUUGACCCCAUCAAGGAAAUUAAUGCUUUUCUGUUUAAGCUUCUGACCUUACCAACAACAGUCACGGAGAAAAUGAUGAAUGGGAGUGGCUUCGGUUAAGCUCAUACAGCUCAAAUACUGAUGGCGUCCUACCAGUGAUGAUGCUGAAUAGGAUCUUCCAAAUUUUAUUUUUUGAUGAAUUUUAAAGGACGUUUGAAUUUCUUUUUCGACAUUUAAUAUUUUUAGAAAACAAACUUCAUAAUUAUUAUGACUAGAUCUAUUAGGCGAAGUCUAUUUUAUAUGCUCAGAUAUGUAAAUAGACAUCUCGAUCGCAACUCUCGCAUUUCUACUUCGACAUAUAAAAAUCCUAAAGAAAAACGUCAAUUCAUAAUUAUUAUGACUAUUACGCCAAUGUCUAUUUUUAUAUGUGCUCAGAUAUUGUAAAUAUACAUCUCCAUCGCAAUUCUCACUUGGAAACACAUUUUUGUGGUUAUAAACUCGGCCUGGCGUACUUCUACAUUCAAUUGAAGCAAGCCAUUGUUUUUAACAAUCUAGGGUACGAAUUGUGUUGCCAUUAGUAACAAAGUGUCUUUGCGUGACUAUGUGCAGCCUCAUGUUGUAGUUCUAUUGAAUAAAUUAUGCAUACAUUAAGAA